CGCAGAAGACGACCGUGUAGUUGCAGACCCCCGAGCCCGUCCAGGCAUCACCCGACCCGCCCCCAGCGAGUCCACGUUUCCUGGUCUCCCACUCUCUUCCCCAACCCAAACCAAUCCCAGAACUAGAAAGCGGGCGGCGGCAUAUGUGAAACUGCUAAUUCUGACGCGGGGCUGCUUGUGCUCUCUGAUUCACGGCGUGGGUGAUGCUGACUGUUG
rnacentral:lncRNA from 1 species